rnacentral:rRNA from 1 species
UACGUAGGGUGCGAGCGUUAAUCGGAAUUACUGGGCGUAAAGUGUGCGCAGGCGGCCGCGCAAGUCGAGUGUGAAAGCCCCGAGCUUAACUUGGGAACUGCGCUCGAAACUACGUGGCUGGAGUGUGGCAGAGGAAGGUGGAAUUCCAGGUGUAGCGGUGAAAAUGCGUAGAGAUCUGGAGGAACACCGAUGGCGAAGGCAGCCUUCUGGGCCAACACUGACGCUCAUGCACGAAAGCGUGGGGGAGCAAACAGG